rnacentral:lncRNA from 1 species
GUUCAUUAUUCCAGCCAUGAUAGAAAUGCAUCUAUUUAGUCCGUGUAUUGCGUUUUUGUAUAUGUGUUUGAAAGUGUCUUCAGAGACAAAUGAGUGUGUGAGAUUCACUGAGCCCUCUGCGUAAAUACAAAUGGUGUUUGAGUCACCUUGUUAAAUACUGGAAUACCACGCUGGCAUGGCAGCGUUUGAGGGGUUGGGACUCUCCAAAAUCCUCGCCCAGAAACACUGGGGUUUUUGCUGUUUGCAUGCCAGGCAGGUUUGGUGUGACAGAACAGCUGGGUCAUGCUUUAAGCCUUAUCUGUAAGACAUUUAUUAGAAAUGAAAGCUGAGGCUUACACAGUUUAUUUUCCUCUAGAUAAAAAAAAACAUCAAAUUCCCGCAAGCUGAGAAAUAAAAAUAGAAAACACAAAUUCUCCUAUGUAAUCUAAUACAAUUCAUCCAAAUCAGGGGGUGGAGAAGAACAAGGUGUGCUGUUCCGCUGAGCCGCAGGAGGAAUUGCUCACGUGGAACUGAGGUGACACUGCACACAGCACACUGACUAUCAAAGAAAGGAUCGCUUGGAUGCUGUUAAUCAAAAUUGCAUCAGAACCUGUAUUAAUGCCUCAGAUUAAAGCUUAAAUUUCAGCCUGUAGGUAAGUUUCAGAGAAUUCUGGUAAAUCUGUUUUCUAGAAGCAGAAAAGAGUUGACUAACAAACUACCAAAAAUCCUUCUCAGAGUGCUGGCAGCCUCUGAGCUUUGGGUUCACUGUAUUUAUGAGAUGAACACAGAUGGUCAGAAAGCGGUGGGUGAAUCAGUAGUCACAGGUAGAACACCAGUGCUAUAACAAACUCCAGAGUCGGUGUAAAGCUAUUUAAAUAACUGGAAAAAAAUAAGAUUAAAAGAAUUGGACAUUCCUUUGGCAUGCUGGAAGCAGGCUCUGCCAGCCCGGCGUCCUUCAGGUAAAUGACUAAAGAAGUGGUUUAUCCUCCCAAAGCUUGGAAUCGGAUACUUCAAAUCACAGAGGCUUUGACUGAGGUUCCAGCCUCAGUGUUUCUGGUAGGAGAAGGUUAAGUGCUGCUGCCAGGUCUUAAAGCCCAACAUUUUUGUUUCCCUGGGUUGCAGACAACUCACUGACAACUGUGAGCAAAAAAACCCCCAACCAAAUCAGUAAGGGGUAUUCCUGUACAUAGCCUCAUUUAAAAUAAACAAACCAAAAACCCACAACACAACUAUUAAAUUCUCAUAACGUGGCAGUGCCUCAGCUCUCUUAAGUUCUCAAGUAGUAAAGGAAACAAUCCAUAUAAGCAGUCCUAAGUCCUGCUUCUUUCUUUAGGUCCUUAAACCAAAUAAUUUACACUCAAAGAAAACGAGAAAAACCUCCAGCUGAAAUGGCCAUACUGAUUCCCGGCCCACUGCUCUCCUGGGCUUUUGUCAGCCUCAGUACAGCUUUGAGGCUGGCUGUGGGGCAGUCGGUGCAGGCUGUUGGGGCGCUCCCAGCCCGCAGCUCUGUUGGCAGCCCUGCAUUUUUCCUCUCCCUGAGCCAUUCAGAGGCUGCUGAGUGCCUCCACCAGCACGGGGCUCUGCAGGAGGGCAGGACACGGUGUAAUCACAGACAGUAACUGUUUGGCUUCCAGCGUCAGGUCUGUGGACUGAAAGCACCACCCCAUCCUGAAAGGGCAAAUGAAGUUGUAGAGGACUCCCUGUUAACUGAUGACCUGCAUCAGACAGGAGCACCACCGUUGUUUUCACUUACCACCUUUUUGAAAUGCUGGAUUGUUUACCUUCAUCUGCAACCUCCUAUCUCGCCUCCAAAGUUGAUACCUAUUGCCACCUGUGCAUACAGCAGCGUUCUUGGCAUCUUGAUGUCAGACAGACCCCUUAUCCUGUGUGAGCACCACCUUCAAGUCAAAAAAAAGUCAGUGAGAUUUUAUCUUCUAUCCUCUUUUCCAGAUAAGCUGAAG